AAAAGCUUCUAGAUGGAUCUUUUCCAAAUUUGGUGUCUUUUUGACAAACUCUGUGCCUCAACAACCCUUUCUAAGUGAGCUGAAGGCGUUUAUUUGCCUCUUGGGUGAUUAACACCUAAAUGCUUAAUUCUCAGAACUGCUCAAGAGUCCCACAGCCAGGAUUAGAUGAUCCAACUCACCACCAAGAAAUUACUGUCUUGAAUUCUACGCUUCAGCACAAGUCAGCAAAGUGAAUAAGUACUGCACUUCUUCCAACUUUCAUUCCACUU
rnacentral:lncRNA from 1 species